rnacentral:rRNA from 1 species
UGCAAGUCGAGCGGUAGAAGGAAGCUUGCUUCCUUUGAGAGCGGCGGACGGGUGAGUAAUGCCUAGGAAUCUGCCUGGUAGUGGGGGAUAACGUUCGGAAACGAACGCUAAUACCGCGUACGUCCUACGGGAGAAAGCAGGGGACCUUCGGGCCUUGCGCUAUCAGAUGAGCCUAGGUCGGAUUAGCUUGUUGGUGAGGUAAUGGCUCACCAAGGCAACGAUCCGUAACUGGUCUGAGAGGAUGAUCAGUCACACUGGAACUGAGACACGGUCCAGACUCCUACGGGAGGCAGCAGUGGGGAAUAUUGGACAAUGGGGGAAACCCUGAUCCAGCCAUGCCGCGUGUGUGAAGAAGGUCUUAGGAUUGUAAAGCACUUUAAGUUGGGAGGAAGGGUUGUAGCUUAAUACGCUGCAACUUUGACGUUACCGACAGAAUAAGCACCGGCUAACUCUGUGCCAGCAGCCGCGGUAAUACAGAGGGUGCAAGCGUUAAUCGGAAUUACUGGGCGUAAAGCGCGCGUAGGUGGCAAGGUAAGAUGGGUGUGAAAUCCCCGGGCUCAACCUGGGAACUGCAUCCAUAACUGCUUCGCUAGAGUACGGUAGAGGGUAGUGGAAUUUCCUGUGUAGCGGUGAAAUGCGUAGAUAUAGGAAGGAACACCAGUGGCGAAGGCGACUACCUGGACUGAUACUGACACUGAGGUGCGAAAGCGUGGGGAGCAAACAGGAUUAGAUACCCUGGUAGUCCACGCCGUAAACGAUGUCAACUAGCCGUUGGGAACCUUGAGUUCUUAGUGGCGCAGCUAACGCACUAAGUUGACCGCCUGGGGAGUACGGUCGCAAGAUUAAAACUCAAAUGAAUUGACG